UACGGGUGGGGCAAGCGUUGUUCGGAAUUACUGGGCGUAAAGGGCUCGUAGGCGGCCAACUAAGUCGGAUGUGAAAUCCCCAGGCUCAACCUGGGAACUGCAUCCGAUACUGGAUGGCUUGAAUUCGGGAGAGGGAUGCAGAAUUCCAGGUGUAGCGGUGAAAUGCGUAGAUAUCUGGAGGAAUACCGGUGGCGAAGGCGGCAUCCUGGACCGACAUUGACGCUGAUGAGCGAAAGCUAGGGGAGCAAACGGG
rnacentral:rRNA from 1 species